rnacentral:rRNA from 1 species
UACGGAGGGUGCAAGCGUUAUCCGGAAUCACUGGGUUUAAAGGGUGCGUAGGCGGUCUUAUAAGUCAAUGGUGAAAGACGGCAGCUUAACUGUCGCAGUGCCAUUGAUACUGUAGGAAUUGAAUAAGGAUGAGGUUGGCGGAAUGUGACAUGUAGCGGUGAAAUGCAUAGAUAUGUCAUAGAACACCAAUUGCGAAGGCAGCUGACUGGACCUUUAUUGACGCUGAGGCACGAAAGCGUGGGGAUCAAACAGC